CACUCUUUUUUAUCUUUCUACUACCAUUGCCUCAAAUAAUGUUACAUAAAUUCAUUUUUAUCUCAAUUAAACCAUGUCUUUCUUCUAUUUCUUAAAUUUUACUAGCCAUAGGAACCUAAGAGAAAUAAAAGUAAUUACAUUUCUACAUGUGCAGACCAUGAGAAUUGGUUACACUAUUUCAACCUUUCUCUUUGUUGCCAAGCCCGUCCUACUGAAGCCACUUUUCUCAUCCUCAACUCUGACUUUCAGUACUCUGUGGAGCAAAUUCUGCCAGCACCUUGCAAUAGAUCUUGUUUCCCAUGAAUACUUUUCAUCUGAGAGGCCAACACUUUUAUCAAAUAAUCCAGCCAAUAGAAAACAAUCCUGGUUACUGCUUAAUUGAUACUGAAUAGCAAAUGGAGGUCAAGGUGUGGAACAAGCCUGCAAUUCCAGCAUUCAAGAGGUUGAGGCAGGAGCAUUGCCAUGAACAAAUGGUAAAGAUCUAUAAAGUUCUUUUGGGUUUGAUAUUUUUUUUUCACUCCAGAUUUUAUUCCCC
rnacentral:lncRNA from 1 species